GCGGUGGAGCAUGUGGUUUAAUUCGAAAGCAACGCGCAGAACCUUACCAGCCCUUGACAUCCCGGUCGCGGAUCGCAGAGAUGCUUUCCUCAGUUCGGCUGGACCGGUGACAGGUGCUGCAUGGCUGUCGUCAGCUCGUGUCGUGAGAUGUUGGGUUAAGUCCCGCAACGAGCGCAACCCCCGCCUUCAGUUGCCAACGGUUCGGCCGUGCACUCUGGAGGAACUGCCUGUGACAAGCAGGAGGAAGGUGGGGAUGACGUCAAGUCCUCAUGGCCCUUAUGGGCUGGGCUACACACGUGCUACAAUGGCGGUGGCAGAGGGAUGCAAUACCGCGAGGUGGAGCAAAUCCCUAAAAGCCGUCUCAGUUCGGAUUGUUCUCUGCAACUCGAGAGCAUGAAGUUGGAAUCGCUAGUAAUCGCGGAUCAGCUCGCCGCGGUGAAGUACGUUCCCGGGCCUU
rnacentral:rRNA from 1 species